rnacentral:rRNA from 1 species
GACGAACGCUGGCGGCGUGCUUAACACAUGCAAGUCGAACGGAAAGGCCCUGCUUUUGUGGGGUGCUCGAGUGGCGAACGGGUGAGUAACACGUGAGUAACCUGCCCUUGACUUUGGGAUAACUUCAGGAAACUGGGGCUAAUACCGGAUAGGAGCUCCUGCUGCAUGGUGGGGGUUGGAAAGUUUCGGCGGUUGGGGAUGGACUCGCGGCUUAUCAGCUUGUUGGUGGGGUAGUGGCUUACCAAGGCUUUGACGGGUAGCCGGCCUGAGAGGGUGACCGGCCACAUUGGGACUGAGAUACGGCCCAGACUCCUACGGGAGGCAGUAGUGGGGAAUAUUGCACAAUGGGCGGGAGCCUGAUGCAGCAACGCCGCGUGCGGGAUGACGGCCUUCGGGUUGUAAACCGCUUUCGCCUGUGACGAAGCGUGAGUGACGGUAAUGGGUAAAGAAGCACCGGCUAACUACGUG